rnacentral:rRNA from 1 species
GUGGGGAAUUUUUCCGCAAUGGGCGAAAGCCUGACGGAGCAAUGCCGCGUGGAGGUGGAAGGCCUACGGGUCGUCAACUUCUUUUCUCGGAGAAGAAACAAUGACGGUAUCUGAGGAAUAAGCAUCGGCUAACUCUGUACCAG